CUUUAAUAAUAUGACAUUGUGAACCCUACAGAACAGUGUUCUGAUUCAAUAGAAGCUGUUUUUUUCUUAUCUAAUCUGGAAAGUUGUGUCUUUCUGAUGAGCGUUUGGAGCUGAGGGUUGUUGCUCAUCUCUCUGUCUGCUGCUCAGCACUGUAACCUUGAGUCCAGGGCUGCCUCGUUUAAUUAGCCAUCAUUCUUUUUCUUCACGAUAAACCACAUAGCUGCGUGGCUUCUUUAAGUCCCAACGUCUUCUUCUUUGUAAUUACAGCUUCUGAAAGCAGCGGAGAGAUAACAAGGAUGUGUCUCCAUCUUUUCUGGAACUCGGCAGAGAGGGUCUGGACCCACGGCUAUUGAGAAGCGGUUCCUUGCUGGAGRUGUGGACUCUGUUGAAGUUUAAAACAAUUACAUCUGAUUUACCCAAUUGCUAACAUUUGGCCAUGACAUAUGUAGCAGACCGUGAAAGACGCUAAGCUAAAAAGCUAAYRGGAAAUUGCAUCGCUGUAAACAACCAUCCCCUACUGGGGAGAGAGAAGUACUGAGCUGAAUGAGAUGGCUGUAACUGAUGCUGCAGGCUUUACGAGACAAUUUUAAUUYAGAAGCCUUGUCAACACAACUGAAUGGCUUCAUUCACUUCAUCUGCUGCCRUUGUUAAACUACAGGCAGACUAACACAGAAUGAAAAUCGACGUCAUUGUUCACAACUCCUCCUCCUGUUCACUGAUUGGCCUGGUUGAAUUUCUACCAGAGAAAUCUAUGUCAGUGGGRGAAAGCCCAGAUGGCGGUGGUGGAUCUGGGAUUUUUCAUAGAGGGGCCAAGUAUUUGUUCAGCAUCCUUGCACAUAAAUCCUUGGUUUUUGUAAGUACAUGAAUAAAAUACUCUCAAACA